CGUCCUCAACUCCCCCUCGAAAUCUCGCCAUGAGCUCGGCCCCCCUUGCCGGCGCCGAUCUCGCGUCGGCGUCGUCCUCGGCGAUGGGCGGCCACCACACCGACCGCUUCUUCAGGGCGCUGGCGGUCGCCUCCGCCUACAUCCUCGUCCGCCGGUGGCGCGCGGCCUCGCCGAGCGGCCGCUGCCGGCGGAGAUCGCCGCCGCGGCUGUGCUCUGCGCUGCGCCUCCGUGGCGUGGCUGUACGUGCUCCCCGCCCUGGGCCUCCGCCGGAGCUCGCACCGAAGUCGGCACCAAGAUUAGUUGAACUGAAAUUGCUGCCCCGUUGCUGGGUCAAGUGACAGAGGCUAUCCUUGUGAUCUUUCCAUGUGCUCCUCAUGUUCAGACUUCAGAGACUGGCACAGAAGACCAGCAAUUGCAUCAAGACUACGUGAUGUGUCCAAGUGGCCAUCAUCUUACGGCUGAUAAGAGGAACACUAGGAUCUCUGAACUUAAGGAUUGGAUCGCACCAGCUUAUUGUUUGUUGGUAACAUCUUGCAGUCUCAUGACUACCCGUGACUGCGGGGCUAAUUGUGAUUUUAAAUAAUGUCAGAAAGCAUGACUAUAAAGGGUCUGCAAUUUUUUUCCAGGUUAUGUAAUUUUUCAUGAGCUUUGUCUGUCUUACAGUUCGAACAGAUACUUGGUUUAAGAAUUUCCAUUAAGAUGCGUGUAACUAGCUCCGAUCCAGACAUACAAGAUUGAACGAAGGUUGUACUAUUCGAUUGGUAUCAAUUGUAUGAUCAUGUAGUGUUUUACGAGUUGUUA